rnacentral:misc_RNA from 1 species
AACCAUUCUCACCUGCGGCUAGACCUGCGGAAGGAUCAUUACCUAGAGUUGUAGGCUUUGCCUGCUAUCUCUUACCCAUGUCUUUUGAGUACCUUACGUUUCCUCGGCGGGUUCGCCCGCCGGUUGGACAAAACUUAAACCCUUUGUAGUUGCAAUCAGCGUCUGAAAAAACUUAAUAGUUACAACUUUUAACAACGGAUCU